GGGGAUGGGACCAUAGCUCAGUGGUAGAGCAUCUGCUUUGCAUGUAGAAGGUCCCAGGUUCAAUCCCUGGCAUCUCCA